GCCUGCCGGGUCAGCGCUACUCGCUCCUCGGAGUUUUGAGUCGCUCCGCGCAGUUGUUUCUCAGGAAUGAGGAACCACUUCAUGGAGAGAUGGAGGUGAAGAGGGCCUUAAAGGGACGAAUCCAGUCCCUUCGGAUAACGAUAUAGAAGACCAGGGAAAGAAAAAACUGGCCCAGGGUCACAGGAUAGUGACACCCUUGACCCAAGCACUUUCCACCAAAACAGUUGGGAAAACACAAGAACAUUCCCUUUCUUCCAACAGUGGAAAAGAUACUGCUAAGAGGGCUGCUGACUUGUGAAGGAUUUUGAAGAGGGAAGGAGUGAAGAGGAAGGGAAUGUCACAGAUAUGCGCGCGCGCGCGCACGCACACACACACACACACACACACACACACACCUGCACUCACAAUCUUACACAGAAACCCAUGUUCUCCGUGGUCCCAGUUCCAGCCUGCAGCGCUCUCCGGAGGGGGCUGCCCUGGGGUUCUGGUUGCAGCCCUCCUGCCUGGCUGUCUCAUUUCUCCUCUCCCUCCCAAAGCCCAACUGCUGUUAUUUUGUGCCCGGCCAAGGAGGAGGGAACUGCAGUGACAGCAGGAGUGAGAGGCAGGACAGAGUCGUGGGGCAUGGAGACGGAUGGAGAGAGACGCCAAGACCAGGUGACCAGGAGUCCCAGAGAGAGCGCUGAGAAGCAGGUUGAGGGGUGGUGAGAGCCUGGGGGAGAGGCAGGAAGAACCAAGGAGAAGAAAGAGAAGGUUUGUGGGUCACAGAGCCACUCAGCCAUGCUGGGAACAAAGCGACCCUGGCCGCCAGGUCCCUCCUUCAGCCUGGGGUUGCCUUUGGCCCUCACACUUCUGGCCCUGAGGGCCGGGUGGGCCCAGGAGGGGACAGAGCCAGUCCUCCUGGAAGGCGAGUGCCUGGUGGUCUGUGAGCCCAGCAGAGCUGCUGCAGGAGGGCCAGGGGGAGCAGCCCUGGGAGAGGCGCCCCCUGGAAGAGUGGCAUUUGCUGCAGUCCGCAGCCACCACCACGAGCCCGCAGGGGAGAUCAGCAAUGGCACCAGCGGAGCCAUCUACUUCGACCAGGUCCUGGUGAACGAGGGAGGUGGCUUUGACCGCACCUCUGGCUCCUUCGUGGCACCUGUGCGGGGUGUCUACAGCUUCCGAUUCCAUGUGGUGAAGGUGUACAACCGCCAAACUGUCCAGGUGAGCCUGAUGCUGAACACAUGGCCUGUCGUCUCGGCCUUUGCCAACGAUCCAGAUGUGACCCGGGAGGCGGCCACCAGCUCUGUGCUGCUGCCCCUGGACCCUGGAGACCGGACUUCCUGUUACCUUGGGUUCCAUGGUGCAUCUUUUCAACCACUCUCCUGCCAGUAUUAUAAACUUUGUCUCACCUCUCUGUCCCAUUGGCCCAGCAUGGAUGACCCUAUCGUUAAAGUAAUUAAAGAAUGAUGGUCGGUGAGAUGCUAUAGGAUCGCUAAAGAGAGAAGAUGCUGUUACAGCUAGGUUCAGGGAUUACAGGAUACAAGAAGGUAUGUCGUAGAGACAAUAAAUGUAAAAUUGUAUGUUAGAGUCAAAUAAAAAAGGAUUUGGUAGUGCUUGAGUUAAAUAGGAAAUACCAAUGUGAAGUUGUGGUUUUCCAAAAGAAAUUACUUUUUCAAACUUUAUCACUAAAGUAGCGUGAAACAUCAGGGGAAAAUCUGAUGUGCAUUCUUAGCACCUGGAUCUUUGCCUCAAAUAUUAUUCACCUUUAAAGGGAUUCAGGCUCCCUCAGAGAAUAGUUCCAUGCCAUGAAUAACUCUAGGCCUUGAACCUAUUGGUGAAGACGAAAAGCAAAGAUUUUUUUUUUUAAUGUAUAGAGUAGAUCUAUGAAGGCAAAGGAGCCAAUUUUAAUAGGCUUCCACAAAUUGACCUUUGUGGAAUUUGUGACAAUUUGAUAAUCAAAAGGAAAAUAAUAUAGUUAAUUGGAACAAGGUGAAUUUUUAAAAUCCACAACUCUGUUGUGAUUUUCAAAAAGAAAAAAGCAACUAUACAAGGUGCAAAAAAUGUAGUUAAUAUACUGAGUGAAGAAGUAUGACCAUAAUAGGAUAUUUUUAGUUAAUUUUGAUAAGUAGAAGAGUAUAAAUAUAGCAGAUAUUAUAUUUACUCAUAAGGCACAUUUAUUUUUCUUAUCUGCAUAAGUAGGGAUGGGUGGAUCAAGAGAGCUCUGAGUAAUUCCAGAAAAAAUUGGAACUGCACCAAAAAUGAAAGAGAUUGAUUGGCACCAUCUGGUCAUAUAUUACAACUAGGAAGGAAGAAAUUCCAGCAGUGUGUUACAUGAUGGUGAAUUAGUCAAACAUCCAAAAGAUAACUGCUCACUGCUCAAACAUGAUCCUUCAUUUCUUAGGAAAGAAAGCCUCUAUACUACCCUACUAAUUAUAAUCAGAUUACAGUAACAAUAAAGCCCAAAAUAAUACUGGCUUAAACAAAAUGUUAGAUUAUUUCUGUCUCACAUAGGAGAAUCUGCAAAUAAAGAGUCCCGGAGUGGAUGGCAGUUUUAUGAUCAUCACAGCCCAAUUUCCUUUCUUGCUGUUCCACCUUUAGCAUAUCACCUUCUGACCCAAGAUGGCUCUUUGAUCUCCAGUCAUUACAUCAGCCUUACAGUCCCCAGGAAGGAGGAAGGAAGGACACACCCAUUUCCUUUAAAAGAAGCUUUCUGAGAGUUGUGUCCGACUCUUUGUGACCC